rnacentral:rRNA from 1 species
UGGGGAAUAUUGCACAAUGGGCGAAAGCCUGAUGCAGCAACGCCGCGUGAGUGAUGAAGGUCUUCGGAUUGUAAAGCUCUGUCUUUUGGGACGAUAAUGACGGUACCAAAGGAGGAAGCCACGGCUAACUACGUGCCAGCAGCCGCGGUAAUACGUAGGUGGCGAGCGUUGUCCGGAUUUACUGGGCGUAAAGGGUGCGUAGGCGGAUGUUUAAGUGAGAUGUGAAAUACCCGGGCUUAACUUGGGUGCUGCAUUUCAAACUGGAUAUCUAGAGCGCAGGAGAGGAGAAUGGAAUUCCUAGUGUAGCGGUGAAAUGCGUAGAGAUUAGGAAGAACACCAGUGGCGAAGGCGAUUCUC